CUGUGGCUAGAACUAAGGGGCGGGAUUUGGGGGAAACACAACUCCCGGGUGUCUCAGGCGAAGGGCUUCCCUGGCUGAAGCUGGGAGGGGGACCUCGCUACCUUUUUGCUGUUCCCCCCGCAGACCUGUAGGCAGGAGAGUUCACCUGGGAGAAAUGAAGCUUGGGAGAUCCCAGCCCAGGAGCUCCUGGAGAGCGGGCGGGCUGGAUGGUGUUCAAGCCCAACCCGACAAGCGAGUCCAAAGCCUCCAGAAGCAGGUGUUUGGCAAGUUGGUACACAGGAGCCUGAAUCACCCAUUCUUCUGAUGGUAAUAGGUGUGAUGCUAUAAUAAAAAGCCUGCCCAGAUAUAUCCCCCAACUCUAACCCUUGGCUUCUAGUUUUGUUGUCUGAGGUAAGGAUGGGGUGGAGAAAAACUUAGGGAGAGAGAAGUAGUCUAUCCUCUUGUUAGGGAGUGAAGAUGGAACCCCCAUGGGUCC
rnacentral:lncRNA from 1 species